GGCGCAGCCUGAUGCAGCAACGCCGCGUGAGGGACGACGGCCUUCGGGUUGUAAACCUCUUUUAGCAGGGAAGAAGCGAAAGUGACGGUACCUGCAGAAAAAGCGCCGGCUAACUACGUGCCAGCAGCCGCGGUAAUACGUAGGGCGCAAGCGUUAUCCGGAAUUAUUGGGCGUAAAGAGCUCGUAGGCGGUUUGUCGCGUCUGCUGUGAAAUCCGGAGGCUCAACCUCCGGCCUGCAGUGGGUACGGGCAGACUAGAGUGCGGUAGGGGAGAUUGGAAUUCCUGGUGUAGCGGUGGAAUGCGCAGAUAUCAGGAGGAACACCGAUGGCGAAGGCAGAUCUCUGGGCCGUAACUGACGCUGAGGAGCGAAAGGGUGGGGAGCAAACAGGCUUAGAUACCCUGGUAGUCCACCCCGUAAACGUUGGGAACUAGUUGUGGGGUCCAUUCCACGGAUUCCGUGACGCAGCUAACGCAUUAAGUUCCCCGCCUGGGGAGUACGGCCGCAAGGCUAAAACUCAAAGGAAUUGACGGGGACCCGCACAAGCGGCGGAGCAUGCGGAUUAAUUCGAUGCAACGCGAAGAACCUUACCAAGGCUUGACAUAUACGAGAACGGGUCAGAAAUGGUCAACUCUUUGGACACUCGUAAACAGGUGGUGCAUGGUUGUCGUCAGCUCGUGUCGUGAGAUGUUGGGUUAAGUCCCGCAACGAGCGCAACCCUCGUUCUAUGUUGCCAGCACGUAAUGGUGGGAACUCAUGGGAUACUGCCGGGGUCAACUCGGAG
rnacentral:rRNA from 1 species